AAUAUCUAGCCCACUACAUAUUAUUAUAAAUUAAAUUAACUACAUUUUCUUUUCAGUACAAAUCCAGUUGUCCCUGGACCCACUAGGAAUGUGAGAGGGAAAUACAAUGAUGAGGGGCUAUAAACCCAAGGGCCAGGACAUAAAGCGCAGGAUACGAACACACCAGUUGCAGAAAACACUCCAGAAUAGCACCAAAAAGAGGAUUGGGCAAUUUCAAGUUUUUGAUGAACCAUCAUUCCAGCUUCCAAAUCUCCUGUGAGGACAGGGAUCUCUGAGCUGCCACCUCCUGAUCCAGUUCACCCUCUGCCUGCUGGAUGCACACUGCUGAACUGGAGGCUGCCUUAGCCCUGCUGGAGGUGAAGCAAAGCCUGAUCUGUGGAAGCCCGGGAAUGGCAGUGCAGCACCUGCUCAGGUGGCACCUGUGUGACACUGCCAGGACUCCUCCCAGCUGCCAGCGAGGGACAGGAGGGGCAGUUUGCAUAGCCUGA
rnacentral:lncRNA from 1 species